ACGCGAAGAAACCUUACCCAGGCUUGACAUGCACAGGACGUAUUUAGAGAUAGAUAUUUCCUUCGGGACCUGUGCACAGGUGCUGCAUGGCUGUCGUCAGCUCGUGCCGUGAGGUGUUGGGUUAAGUCCCGCAACGAGCGCAACCCUUAUCAUUAGUUGCCAACACGUGAAGGUGGGAACUCUAAUGAGACUGCCCGGGUUAACCGGGAGGAAGGUGAGGAUGAUGUCAAGUCCGCAUGGCCCUUAUGUCUGGGGCUACACACGUGCUACAAUGGUCGGUACAACAGGAAGCGAAACCGCGAGGCGGAGCAAAUCCCCAAAGCCGACCCCAGUUCAGAUUGCAGUCUGCAACUCGACUGCAUGAAGCCGGAAUUGCUAGUAAUGGCGAGUCAGCAACACCGCCGUGAAUACGUUCCCGGGUCUUGUACACACCG
rnacentral:rRNA from 1 species